rnacentral:pre_miRNA from 1 species
AAUAAACCAAUUUUUCACUUUUCACAUAUAAUUUUUAACUUUUCGUCUUAUUUAAAUUUUUUUGCGAUCGAUAAUUUUGUUUUUAUUAAAUGAUAAAUCAUGAAUAGUAUUUUACAUGUGACUAAUUUUUUUUAAUUUUCUGAAAAAUUUUCAAAUAAGACAGAUGGUCAAACGUUAGACACGGAAAUCGGAGAAUUGAUU